rnacentral:tRNA from 1 species
UCCCUGGUGGUCCAGUGGCUAAGACCCUGCAUUCCCAACGCAGGGGCCCAAGUUCUAUACUUGCUCAGGGAA